GGAAGCUGUCUCUUCAGACUUUUCCGGCACCACAUGAGAAAUCAAAGUCUUUGGGUUCCGGGGGGAGUAUGGUCGCAAGGCUGAAACUUAAAGGAAUUGACGGAAGGGCACCACCAGGAGUGGAACCUGCGGCUUAAUUUGACUCAACACGGGAAAACUUACCAGGUCCAGACAUGAGAAGGAUUGACAGAUUGAGAGCUCUUUCUUGAUUUUAUGGGUGGUGGUGCAUGGCCGUUCUUAGUUGGUACGUUUUUUUAUAAAUCUUUUGUUUUUUUGGGAAAAGUAGUAAUUUUUUCUAACAAAUUUUGUUUAUAGGUGGAGUGAUUUGUCUGGUUUAUUCCGUUAACGAACGAGACCUUUGGCUACUAAAUAGUACAUAUUAUAGAAAUAUAGUAUGAGACUUCUUAAAAGGACAUUUCGGGUUUACCGG
rnacentral:rRNA from 1 species